rnacentral:rRNA from 1 species
CUUACGGGCUGGGCUACACACGUGCUACAAUGGUGGUGACAGUGGGCAGCGAGACCGCGAGGUCGAGCUAAUCUCCAAAAGCCAUCUCAGUUCGGAUUGCACUCUGCAACUCGAGUGCAUGAAGUUGGAAUCGCUAGUAAUCGUGGAUCAGCA